rnacentral:SRP_RNA from 1 species
GCCAGGCACAGUGGUGCAUGCCUGUAGUCCCAGCUACUCGGUAGGCUGAGACAGGAGGAUCGCUUGAGUCCAGGAGUUCUGGGCUGUAGUGCGCUAUGCCAAUCGCGCCCACACUAAGUUCGGCAUCAAUAUGGUGAUCUCCCAGGAGCUGGGGACCACCAGGUUGCCUAAGGCGGAGUGAACUGGCCCAGGUCAGAAAUGGGGCAGGUCAAAAAUCAGGUUCUAGAUAUAUUUUGAAGGCAGAGUUUACCAGUUUACUUGAUGGGUUGAAUAUAGAGCCUGA